rnacentral:rRNA from 1 species
GUGGGGAAUAUUGCGCAAUGGGGGAAACCCUGACGCAGCGACGACGUGUGAGGGAAGAAGGCUUUCGGGUCGUAAACCUCUGUCAGAAAGGAAGAACCUCCCAAGUCCGAAUAGGGCUUGGGACUGACGGUACUUUCAAAGGAAGCACCGGCUAACUCCGUGCCAGCAGCCGCGGUAAUACGGAGGGUGCAAGCGUUAAUCGGAAUCACUGGGCGUAAAGCGCGCGUAGGCCGCUUUGUAAGUCGGACGUGAAAGCCCUCGGCUCAACCGGGGAACUGCGUUCGAUACUGCGAGGCUUGAGUCCUGGAGAGGGUGGCGGAAUUCCGGGUGUAGGAGUGAAAUCCGUAGAUAUCCGGAGGAACACCGGUGGCGAAGGCGGCCACCUGGACAGGUACUGACGCUGAGGCGCGAAAGCGUGGGGAGCAAACAGGAUUAGAAACCCCUGUAGUCC